rnacentral:RNase_P_RNA from 1 species
AACGGGUGGCGGGUUGUCGCUGCGGGUUUCGCAGAGGAAAGUCCGGGCAUCGUAGAGCAAAGUGCUGGCUAACGGCCAGAAUCGGCAACGGUAUGGAUAGCGCAACAGAAAAUAUACCGCCAGUUUAACUGGUAAGGGUGAAAUGGCGAGGUAAAAGCUCACCGCGUUUUUGGCAACAAAAGCGGCAGUGCAAGCCCCACUUGAUGCAAGACCAAACAGAAAUGACAACGCUGCUCGCGUUUCGCUUUUGCGGCAUUUCGGGUAGGUUGCUGGAAGCCGCCGGCAACGGCGGCUCAAGAGAAAUGACAGCCGCGUGAAAACGAACAGAACCCGGCUUACAGCCACCCGUUUUUU